UGCUUAAGGGGGUGUUUGGGUGGGAGAGACUAAACUUUAGUCCAUCUAAAAAAUAAAUCCUUAUGGAGGGACUUAUUUUUUUUGUGAGAAAAUUUAGUCCCUCCCACCCAAACACCCCCUAAAUG
rnacentral:pre_miRNA from 2 species